rnacentral:rRNA from 1 species
GACGAACGCUGGCGGCGUGCUUAACACAUGCAAGUCGAACGGAAAGGCUCCAGCUUGCUGGAGUACUCGAGUGGCGAACGGGUGAGUAACACGUGGGUGAACUGCCCUGCACUUCGGGAUAAGCCUGGGAAAAUGGGUAUAAUACCGGAUAGGACCGCAUUUUGGUGUGUGUGGUGGAAAGGUUUUUCUGGUGUGGGGUGCGUUAGCGGACUAUCUGUUUGUUGGGGGGGUAAUGGCCUACCAAGACGGCGACGGGCUGCUGGGCAGUGAGGGUGGACGGUCGCAUUGGGUCUGAGGGACGGCCCAGGCGCCGACUGGUGGCAGAAGGGGGGAAGAUUGCACAAUGGGUGAAACCCGGGUGCAGCGGCGCCGCGGGGUGUAAGAAGGCCUUCUGGUUGUAGACACCGUUCGCUAGAAACGAAGCUUUUUGUGACGGUACCUGGAGAAGAAGCACCGGCUAACUACGUG